AAACCAUAGAGUUUGAUCCUGGCUCAGAUUGAACGCUGGCGGCAUGCCUUACACAUGCAAGUCGAACGGCAGCACGGGGGCAACCCUGGUGG
rnacentral:rRNA from 1 species